CAUCGGUGACAGGUGGUGCAUGGUUGUCGUCAGCUCGUGUCGUGAGAUGUUGGUUAAGUCCCGCAACGAGCGCAACCCCUAUUGUUAGUUGCCAUCAUUCAGUUGGGCACUCUAGCGAGACUGCCGGUAAUAAACCGGAGGAAGGUGGGGAUGACGUCAAAUCAUCAUGCCCCUUAUGACCUGGGCUACACACGUGCUACAAUGGUUGGUACAACGAGUUGCGAGUCGGUGACGGCGAGCUAAUCUCUUAAAGCCAAUCUCAGUUCGGAUUGUAGACUGCAACUCGCCUACAUGAAGUCGGAAUCGCUAGUAAUCGCGGAUCAGCACGCCGCGGUGAAUACGUUCCCGGGCCUU
rnacentral:rRNA from 1 species